rnacentral:rRNA from 1 species
CGCUAGCGGCAGGCUAACACAUGCAAGUCGAGGGGCGAACGCGAGUAGCAAUACUUGGCGGCGACCGGCGCAAGGGUGCGUAACGCGUGAGCAACAUGCCCGUAUCAGGGGGAUAAUCCAGGGAAACUUGGUCUAAUACCCCAUAGUAAUUUUGUAAGGCAUCUUAUAAGAUUUAAAGCUUUGGUGGAUACGGAUUGGCUCGCGUGACAUUAGCUGGAUGGUAAGGUAACGGCUUACCAUGGCUAUGAUGUCUAGGGGUUCUGAGAGGAAGGUCCCCCACACUGGAACUGAGACACGGUCCAGACUCCUACGGGAGGCAGCAGUGAGGAAUAUUGGACAAUGGAUGGAAAUCUGAUCCAGCCAUGCCGCCGUGAAGGAAGAAGGUCCUAUGGAUUGUAAACUUCUUUUGUAUGGGAGCAAUAAGGCCUACGAGUAGGUUGAUGAGAGUACCAUACGAAUAAGCACCGGCUAACUCCGUGCCAGCCGCGGC